AUUCCAUGAUGGGGACACUUAUGAAGUAACUCCUUGAAUUACUCCCAAGCCUCAUACAAAGACUCAUCAUCCAAUUAUUGGAAAGUUGUGACCUCGUUCCUCAACUU
rfam:Gossypium raimondii chromosome 5, whole genome shotgun sequence.